AUUGAACGCUGGCGGCAGGCCUAACACAUGCAAGUCGAGCGGAGCGGCGGACGGGUGAGUAAUACCUAGGAAUCUGCCUGGUAGUGGGGGAUAACGUUCGGAAACGGGCGCUAAUACCGCAUACUAUCAGAUGAGCCUAGGUCGGAUUAGCUAGUUGGUGGGGUAAUGGCCUACCAAGGCGACGAUCCGUAACUGGUCUGAGAGGAUGAUCAGUCACACUGGAACUGAGACACGGUCCAGACUCCUACGGGAGGCAGCAGUGGGGAAUAUUGGACAAUGGGCGAAAGCCUGAUCCAGCCAUGCCGCGUGUGUGAAGAAGGUCUUCGGAUUGUAAAGCACUUUAAGUUGGGAGGCGUUACCGACAGAAUAAGCACCGGCUAACUUCGUGCCAGCAGCCGCGGUAAUUC
rnacentral:rRNA from 1 species